GUAAGCAGCACAGAGACUGCAGUCAGUCGCUGACACCCUAUAGGUCUUAGCUUAAUUUGGUUCACCAUGUUAUUUGGUCCACCUGGUUUCUGCAGGUCACACUAGGCAGGAGGAAAAUGUGAUGCUUGGAUUAGAAAAGGAGAAAUCCUCCAAGUAUUUAAUGUCGGGGAAAGGCAGAGCUGGGAAUUGGUGAUGGUGGAGAGGAUGUGUAUGGAAGCACCGAGAAGCCACAAGGGAGGUGGUGGUGACUGCAGGGAGCUGGCAGGACAGAAGGAAGAUGAACCAGAGCCAGGAUGCCGGAGCCACAGCAGCCUGUGCGGACUCCGAGGAAGAGCUGCCCUCCAUAGCCUGGCUGCGGUCAGUCCAGUCGUACUGUGACUUCUCCCUUCCCCCACCCUUAGUCUCCUCCCGUGGGAAAUGCAAGUCAGGAUGUUUGUCCCCGAGACCGCAUCCGCGCAGAGGGACAAAGAAAGGAUGUGAGGAGAAACACUUCCCCUCUGGUUUGAGGGUGCACGCCCUGCAAGGCGGCUCCAGGCCUGGCCUCAAGCCCCACCAGAGACGCUCUCCAGGCAUUUGCCAGGUUUCACUCCCAUGUGGCAACCUUCUAUUCCACGUUAAGCCGCUGGGAUCCCAUGUGUUAGGGUUCUCUUCACCCUACAGGAUCUGGGAUGCGGGAUGAUGGGUCUCCUCGGUGACGCCCUCCACGGAGAAGCCAUAUGGUCUGGUUAAAUUACCCCUCAGUGCUGGAGAUCAGAGGACCUGGGGCUCGCUGGGAAGCACUGUAUCCCUGAGCUACCACCGCAAAUACUUUAACACCAUCAGAUAAGCUUUGCUGUUUACCAAGAUUCAUUUUUACAUUGAUUGGUAUAACUGGUAUCUGGAUUUAUUGUUGUUAUUUUAUUUUUUACACUGUUUUUUUCUAGCCUGUCUUUCCCUGUCUCUCUCUCUCUCUCUGUCUCUCCCCUUCCUUUCUUCCUUCUUUCCUUGUCCCAUUCUGUACUGACUCCAUUUUUUUCUCAUUUCAUCAACUUUUUCACCUAAUAACUUGGAAAUUAAAAAAUAUAAUUUUUUUCUUUCUUGAGAGGUUAAAAAAGUGAUUACUUCUCUAGAAUUUCAAGCAUGAAAACUUAAGAACUCUAAAGUCAAUCAUUGUUUUUACCUUUGUCGGAAACAAUCCCAGAACUCCAGAGCACUUUAACUUUAAUCAUCUUUGCAAUGAUUUUCUCUCAAUGUUUUGUUGUAUAGUUUAACCCCCAGUUUAGAAGUCAACAAUGUUUUAUCUAAUCUAUAUUUUAUACUUCCUUUCAUAUUUGCCAAUUUAUAUGCUUUGUUUCCUUCCUGCACCUCAGAUCUUCUAUCUGGAAUCAUUUUUAUUUUUUCUGAAACACAUAUUUCCAAAUUUCCUUCACACUCAUCUGUGGAUAAUAAACACAAUUUUCAUUUUUCAAUAGUUUCAUUAUACAUAAAGUAUAAGCAGCAUGCUAUAGACUCUGACAACAGUCCAGUGUCAAAUGGUGAGUACAGCUGGGGAGGUUGGGUCCCAUGCUGAGUCAGGAGACUCCGAGGUAAGUUACUCCUUUAAUAAUUACCAUUUUGUGAGGACUCAAGGGUCCUCUGAGAAAUACCUUACCUUCUUUGGAGGGCAGGGCCCCCAGGGACCCAAUAGCCUCCCACUUGUCCCCACUCUUAAGAGUUCUACAUUGCUUCCAUUUCUGCCCCCUGCCUCCAAUCACACAGACCCAUGGGUGUCAGGUUCUGUCCUAGAUCUCGAAUGUACGGUGGAGGUUAAAUAAAAAGUGAGAAAUCGUAUGAUUUGUAGGGCUCCAGGAGGGUCAAAACCCUUUAAUUAAGCUAGAGGCUUCGAGGGUAAAGACAAAGGAUUCUCUGGAUCAGUCCACUUAUAUUAGGACCAAGAACAAAGGACGGAGAAACUGAGGAAAUUGCAGGCAAUGAGCAGGACCUGGAAGUCACUUCAAGGAUGUCUCUAAGUAAUGAAUCAAGUCAGUUUAGUAGCACUGUCUUAUCAUGAAGACAUGGUAGAAGUGAGACUGUAGGAGUAAUCUUUGCAGCUGCAAUCUCUACCUUGUUAAUUGGGGUUGGAGCCAGAGUGUCCGCAGCUGUGGCCUUAUCUUGCCCUUUGAGGUAUCUCUGGCCUCACAGGCCACUAGGGGCCUCAGCCAGGACCAGUGAUUCAUAGAGGUUCACUUACUAUGAAUCAGCUCCCAUCACCAGGCAAGGGGCCUAGGCCUAGGACAGACUCACAGAUAAACAUAGAAAGCCAAUUAGUAAAAUUUAAAUCCUGCUCAGAGCUGCUUCAUAGUGGUCUCCAACACAUGGAGACAUACAAACCAUAACUAAAUCACUCCAGCAUACAGUACACUUGCUAGAUAUGUAAAUAAAAACUUGGAGAAAUAAAAAUAGCAAGAUACUUCAACAUAACUCAGGACACAUCUUAAAGUCAAAACAUAAGUAAUUAGUACAUAUACAAUAACUCACAUCAACAAAUAGAAAAUAUUCUUAUUUGCAUGACCAAAAUAAAUCCUUGGCCACAAAGAAAACUUUCACAAAACUUUGAAGUAAGAAUUGUAGAAGUCACAGGUUCAAUAAUAAGCUAAUAAUUUCAAUUUAUAAGUUAAUACUCCUGGCUAAACCUUGCAUCAAAUAUGAAUUAAAACUGAAACUUCAAACUAUCUACAAAGCCAUCAAAAUAAAACUAUUCAUAGAAAAAUCUGUAAGACACUGCAAAUUAGGCUUAGAAAAAAUUGCCUUCUCCAAGGCUAAUCACAAAGAUUCUUAGGGUCCAGAAAAAAUAAAAGCAAAAAGACAGUAAAAUUAACUGGAGCUAGAGAGAGAAAGAGAACAUAUGAAAAAAAGGAAAAUAAAACCAAAACAUCAUUCUAUGAAAAGACGAGAAACAAAAGGUAAACCCAUAUAAAGAAACAGAGGAAAAAAAACAUUUAAAAUUAAGAAUAAAAAAAUAAGAUAGUCACAGAUGUAGGAGAUACCAAAAUUAGAACAUGUGAAUAUUCUGUUCAAAUUAAUGGCAGUGAAUUUAAAUUUCCAAGCAAACUUUCAAAGGAAAACUUGUUUAGCGCAGUUUGAAUGGAGACACUGGAAAAGAAGUCCAAAGUCCUCUUUCAGAUGUAACUGCAACACAACAAACCCCUGGAGAAUUCAGAAGCUGCAGGUGAUUCCAACGUGGCACCUCCAGAAGCAUAAUGAUUCAAUACUCUUUUCUGAAACACUGUGUGACUGUUAGUUGCAAUAGGUUGACUGGACUUGAGUAAGGCUGCUUAGCAGAACAGUAAAACUCUGAUUGUGUCUGUGGAUGAUUGACAUGUAGGCCAGCAAACUGAGGGCAGUGGACCUGACCCUGAUGUGGGUGGCACCAACCAAUAGAUUUAUUGUCUAGAUGGAACAAAAGGGAUAAGGAAGGAAGUAUUACCUUUUUUGGAAGAGCUCCUGUCUUCACCUUUGCUUUUGGAUACUGACUGGUCUCUAGUUUCUUCAGCCGCCAAACACAGAUUCUUCGCCUUUCAAUGCAGACUCACACUCAAGACACUACAGUGAACUUCCAGGCCUCCAGCCUUUGCCUACUGCUAAUCCUUUGGCUCUCUAGUACACAGACGGCCAUUUUGGAUUCUACAGCCUCUGAACCCACAGGAGGCCAGGAUGGCUCUUCCACCUUAGAUUUAUCAUGUCAAAAGCUUCCCAUCUCAUCUUGUUCAGCAGCACCACGAGGAAGGGACUCAGCCAUCUGUCAACAUCAAUUACUGGCCUGGACACAGGGAUUGAAUUAUCACCCAACCCUUCCACUCUGAAGACAUCUCCUCCUAGGGAUCCCUUAAAGAAGAGGUGGCCUGGUCCCCGGCUCUCCACUUUCACCUAUUUCUCCUCCCAGCCUAUCGUUUUUCCAUUGAGUGAUGGGAAAACUUCUCUGAAAUGUGCUUCAAGUCCACUCAGCCUCUUUAUCUCCUUGCCAAAGCCUCUAAAUCCUUAAAGACUGAGAAUUUUAGACAAUAAAAGCCAGAAAUCCAUACCAGCUUCCUCUGCUUUCAAACCUAAAGGGAAUCUUCUCCAAGGGAUACAAAUACAGACUGCUUGUGUGCUUGAAAGGAAGGAAAGCAAGAGAGAAAAAUUGCCCAAAUACGCAUCUGAACAUAUGAACUGGUCUCAUUUUGGAUUGAAUAUCUCAAUUCAGUGAUUAACUUUGAGAAGCAAGGAUAACUAUGCAAGGGUAUCUAAGCAGAACAAGAGUCAGUAAUUAAUCAUCUAUUCCAUGGUAUGACAUUGAAAAAUACCAUCAUUGGAAAUCAGAUCAAUUUCUUUUUUUUUAUUUUAUUUAAGAGGAAAAAGAAAAACACAAAACAAAACAAAGUGGUGUAAGGUUACACAUAAUACAGAACUACAAAAAAAAAAACAGUAAGAAAUCACCUAUUAAUAGAUUACAUAUUAUCAUCUUGGAAAUAGUUGCUCACAUCACAUUAUCAAAGAAUACAAAGUAGACAUUCAAACAGAGAGACUGCUUUCCCAAAUGUAAGAAGAUCAAGAAUAACACAGACAAAGACAUUGCUCAGGUCCCUAUUGCUUCCCAGCAGUCUCCAGGAAACUGGGCCUCAAGUGUUUGUUGGGGCGAUGGGUUAGGCUGCACAUUAUUUAUAAGUUUCUUUCCUCCUUCUCCAGCUCACUUCCAAUACUCUGGCUUUUAGGAAGCACUUCUACAUAAACUACCUGUCUCAGGAUCUGCUUUCUGAAAACAUCCAGACUAGCACAACCCUACACAAGGUAUUUCUUCUGGGAAAGGACCGGUGAGAACUGACACACUCAAAAGUAAGUACAGAUUGCAGGAGGAAUGGGAAGGUGAGGUCAGGAUGGGGUGAGGUGGGGACAGAUAAUUAAAAUAGGAAAAUUGGAUGGUCAGCUACAGAGCUGCUCAGUGAUGGACUGUAAGUGGCCUCAAAGAGUUCAUAUGUGCAGCGUCCAGGCCAAUUGAAGAGCAGGGGCACACUACCUGCAGAACCCACUACUGACAGACCAUGGACCGCAGGUGGAGAGGGGAAGUGCAAGCUCAGGCCCUGACAGCACUCCUGGAGCGAUACAAAUGCUGACUCACCAGCCACACUCUGACCUCACCCUCAGCCUCCCAAAGUGGGGCAGGGAGAGGAAAAGAUGCUUAGGCAGCUCUCUGUGAGGACAAAUAAUGCCAGCUUGUGCGGAGAGGGGCAAGCAAUGAGGUGCUGGGAAGGAUUACAGUUCUGGAGCAAGUCCAUGAGCACACCACCAAGGAAUAGUAGAGGGACAGCCUGAGGCCACCUGCACACAGAGCCUCUCCAGGGUGUUCACUCUGUAGCCUGAGUUUCCCAGGCCACACCAGUCCAGGAUUAAUAACAAUGGGCACAUCAUAGAAAGAACUUCAUUUAACAAUCCCUGUCUCUAGCUGCUAUUGCCAGAAGUCCAGCUCCCUGAAAUGGCUGUUCAGUUUAUUUCUGGGAUGUUCAGUGAGGUCAAACAUGCUCAGCAAUAAGGUUUAGCAUUUUCCCCACAGCAGCUACCACUCUCUUCCUCUCUUGCUUUAACCACUGUGCUAAUAAAAGCCUAAUCAAAGACUCCAUCCUUGGUUGUACCUCUGAGUUCCCAUCAAGCUGCUGGCAUCAUGGCCAGCUCUAGUAAGUCCUGGAAACUUUGCCAUCCCCAUUGUGCACAUUAAAUAUCUCUGUUUCCAUCACAGACUGUUCCUUUUUGGGGAGUACCUCUACUCUUGACAGGUACCAAGGACCUCAGCGAUGGAGACAAGCCUGUCCUCACGUAGUGGCACCUCAAACUGUUGAAGUGUGGUGGUGUCCAGGUCAGAGAAAAAAGCAUUUCUCCUUCCAUUUGCUAUUUUCCGUUCAACUGGAGGUGUAAGAAGGAUAAUAGCCUAUAUUUAUAAAUGCCCCUCAAUUUACAAUGCAGUAAUAUCUAAAAAACCAUUUUAAGUUGAAAACAAGCAAAAUAAAAAUGUAUUUAAUAUAUCAAACUACCAAACACACUGACAUUAGCAAUGCAGUACAAUGUAGAAUACUGGUCAGUUCUCCUUCAUGAUUGCAGGACUGCUUGGGAGCUGUGGCUCGCUGCCCAGCUCUCACCUUUGCAGUCUCAAAGGAUAUUCCUUACCAAGCCAGGGUAAAAAGCCAGAGAGUCAGCUCUCUGUUCGUACAGCCUUCAAAUGUUCAAUCUCUACCCUAUUUAGCCACAGUCUUCUAAAGACAGUAGGACUGUCAUUACUGUCCUAUUGCUGGCCUCACCCAUUUUAUCCUGCCCAACGUUAUGCAGUCUAUGCAGCUCUUUUCUGAAGAUCAAUGGUAACAACCAGCCCUUGAGCCUUACUGAAGUUACUGAUAUUUUGCAAUCGGGAAAGUCUCACAACCUGACACCUUCUGAGGAUGAAAGUCCAAGGCUCAUGUUUCCUAUCUUGUGGUUUCCGGUCUACCCAAUUUCCCUCUCUGUGGUCUCCUCUGCCAAGUCUCCAUGGGUCCACUUCCUUUGAGAUGCUCGGCCUUCCCUCAUUCUCUCUCUGUGUCCACAGGGAGAGAAUGAACAUAUUAAUGUUGAAUUUCUCCCCAAUCUCCCCACCAGUAAACGUGUGGCUCCUCAUUCAUUUAGCUUACCAAAACAAGCCUUACUUUCUUAGUCAGCCCUGUCUGGCCUGAGUUGAGGGCCUCAUUUGUCCUGACAAGGCUCUGACUACCCCUAAGUGAAUGAACAUUACAGGUGAAUCUGGGACAUUUCCCAAGAGUCCCUGCAUUGAAGUGUGGCAUCCAGUGUGGCACUAAGAGGAAGUGGUAGAGGCUUCAGAAGGCAGAGCCAGUGAAAUUGGGUCAUGACCUUAAAUAGGACAUUGGGACCUUGGCCCUUUCCUGUCCUUUUUUGCUUCUCAUCUGCCUUAAGGUGAACAGAUCACCUCCACCAUACUCCACACCAUGACCUACAGCCUGGUCACAGACUCAAAGCCAACAGAACCAGGAGCCCAUAGAUUGAUACUGUGAGCCAAAAUAAAACUUCCCUCCUUUUAAGCUUUUUAUCUUGGGUAUUUGUCACAUCUAUGGAAAGCUAACGACAUCAGCCACCCUUGCAUCCUUGGACAGAGGACCACCAGACACCAUCUCAGGUCUGGCAUAGAAGAAGCACCAGGUGAGCUGCAUUGGUUCUUCUUUGGACAUCUUGGAGAUGCAACAAGAUGCCACCUUUGCCGCUCCAGGAGAUGGGAGGUUGGGCUGCAGACAGGUUUUGCAGUUUGUCCUAACUCACAUCUGUUUGCAGGCUUCUCGAGGAAACCAGUGUGAUACCCUCAGACAGGGUCCUCAGUUCUGGGCCAGACUUGCCACCAUGUUCUUCCUGACUUUGGACUGUGCCCUCUGGGAAAGCUUUUUAUCUCCUCACACACAGAGAUAACCACAGGCCUUGUAAAUCUUUGGAGUUCCUUACUCAGAUCUUUAGCCUUACACUUUUUGAAAGGUAGAGAAAUUAACCUUUGCUAUGAUAAUUCCUACAAUGGGUGGUGACUAUUGUUUUUAAUCACUCAGAUGAUUCUGGUAAACUCUGCUCCUGGGAAAACUGAUUUUCCUACACUGAAAAGCUUUAAGAUAAGGGUGUAUAAGGGUGUGUAAGGGUGUGUGUGUGUGUGUGUGUGUGUGUGUGUGUGUAACAUCUUACUCCAAUACCUCAAGCAUCCUGAGUUAGUCUUGACAUUGGCCUUAGCUCUAGAUCCGCACAUGGAAAUCUGACCCCCAGCAGGAUCUCUUGCUGAGGAGGCAUGGUUCUCACCAAGAUUACCUCAAGUGCAGGCUCUCUUGCCACUCACAAGGUGAGGAUGGAGGACAGAAGAAGCGGCUCUCCUUAGCUCAAAGGCCCGAGUUUGUGGCCACAUGAGUUUGCCACAUGAACUUUCCCUGCCACAUCUUCCUCCCUCUGAGUCCUGAGGCUCUCCAUUGGCCUCCUCUGUGAAAAUCACCCACACAAUCACCUCUCACCCUCUGACUGGCCUUACUCCCAUGUUAGGCAUAGGGCAAACUGGGUGAGGGCCAGCUUCUGACCAGGACCUAGAGAUCAGAAACUGUCUGAUUUUCACUGUCCUAGAUCCCAGUCUCAUGUUGGCAUGAGUGACAUGGCUGCAGACUGGGUGGGUUUAGCAGUAGUUGGGGGUAGGAUCCAAAGGUCAAACGAGGACUACACAGGGUUGGUACAUAGUUAAUCAUGGACUGAAUCCAUGACAGACACUAAGUGGGGCCACUUCUGAUGCUCCAACCUGAACUCAGGAGGGCCAGUGGGUUUAGUAUCGCAACGAAUCUCCACCAUUCUUCCUAAACUGCUUCAAAUCCUUCUCCCUUACAAUAUAUGUGUUUUUUUUAAUUUGACAUUCUUUCUUGCACACCAUACAAAUUGAUGGGAGAGUGUAUCAGUCACCUGUGGCUGCUAUAGCAAAUUACCAGAAGCUUUGCAGCUUAAGCAGCACAGUGUGUAUUCUCACUGUUCACAAGGCCAGCAGCCUGAAGCAGUUUCUCUGAGUUAAUGAAAGGAUGCCAGUGCCCAGUCUCUCUCCUGGUUAUAGGGGGGGAUAUAGUUCUCUGCCUUGUCUGGCACCUUCCAGCACUCUUCACAUUCCUCUCCUCAUGGGCCUUCCGCUGUCCUCUCUCCUUCUCCCUCCAUCAUCACCAUCACAUUGCCCUCUUCCUCUCCGACAUCAAAUCUCCCUCUGCCUCUUUCCUAUAAGGACACUUGCAUCCAGGCUGGGUGGUGCAUGCCUGGAACUGCAGCACCCUGGAAGGCUGAGGCAGGAAGACUGCAAGUUCAAGCCCUCCCUGGGUGAUUUAGUGACUCAGCGAGAUUCUCACAAAAUAAAAAGAAUGAAAAAGGCUGGGAAGGUAUCUCAGAAUGAAGGCCUUGAGUUCACUUUCCAGUACCUACCACCAAGAAAGACACUUCUGAUUGCAUUUAGGAGCCAUCUGAUAAUCCAGCAUAACUGCUCCAUCUCACCAUCUUUAACUUAUUCAUAUCUCCAUAGACUUUUUUCCCAUACUCCUGGGAUCCAGAUAUUGGGACCUUCUUAUUAUCUUGAAGGACCAUUAUUCAGCUGCUACAGAGAGAAUCCCACUCCUUCUGAGGCCCAGAGAGAAGGUCAGACUAAAAUGAUGACAGUGCAAAUUGGACACAGACUGUGCACUUCCAGCAGCCCUUCCAGAAACCUUGAGUACCUAAUGGUUUGUCAGGAUGUCUGCUCCCUCAGGAAUGAGCAUCAUCGACUUUGGCCUAGGGUCUAACAUCAUUAACCUUCCUGGAGUGCUCCAGGUGCCCCUCGUCCUUUGGGCAGAAACCUGCACGGAGUCACCAGCCUGACUCAGAAGAAUUGCACUCGACAUCUCGCCACAUGGUAGGAUUCGUUGUGGCCACCCUCAGCUUGUCACCCAGCUCCAGGAUUUUCCCUUCUUGGCAAACUGAAGAAAAAAAAAGGAAGUGUUUAUCUAUAAUAGACGGAAUUUUGGAAAGGUUUUGGUUUUCUUUUUUUUUUUUAUUCUUUCAUGUAUUUUACAAUGGAAUAAAGAAACCACUGUCUGUAUCUCAUUCUGAUCUCACAAAUUACUCAUACAUCCGUAGGAUAAGUCAUUUUUGAAGUUUCCAAUGAAAGCAAUCAUAUUUUUUGUUUUAUUAAAUAAAACACAAAAAUAGGAUGCAGCAGAAGGAAGCUGUCUAGAAUGAUACUGUUCAAUACCAUAGUCACCAACCAGUUAGCUGUUGAGCUCUUGAAUACAAUGCGUCCAGAAGAAAAGAGCUUAGGAAGUGCACACUGCACCGCAUGCUCUAUGUAUCACAGUGUAAAGGAGAACGGAGAAGUCGUGGUAGGUUGUUACUGAAAGGAUAAUAGUUCUGAUAGAUACUUAAUGAAUAGGAAGCUUCCCAUACCUUCUAUAACCUAUUUUCUCCUCCCUCUGAGCACUUGUCCUAAAGAUGACAAAAUAUGAUGUCCACAGAGCAGGGAAAUGAACUGGAGUUUAUUAAAAAGAACAAAGAAAAGCUCUCAUUAACCAAAAAGGCUUCCAAGGGAGGGCACCCAGAAAAUGCCCACGUUCAGGAGCUCAUAUACACCUGGUUGGGCUAUUUUUGUGGGUUAAAGCACCCUCUGCACCCUUUGGCACACUUUGUAGCUUUAAGGCUGUUUACCAGGAAGAAACAAAUUCAACUAAGAGACUGAAUAUGCAUAACCCGAACAGUGAGGUAACACAUGAAACAUUGGCAUUAGCCCUGCUGGGGCAAGAAACCAGGAUGUCCAUUCCAGGUCUCCAGGAAUUCUCAUGACUCAGGAAACUUUGAGGAGCUUAGAGGCAGGUCAGUGAGCAGUUGUGCUGUAACAGUUUCUUUGUCUUCUAGGUAUGUUCUUUUCCUCCAAAUCCCUUUUUGAGGCAUUCGCUUUUCACAGUACUUUCCAUAACUGUCUCCCAUUGAAAACCUUUUCCUGGGCCUACCAAAGAGGGAGAGGGAAUCCAAAACAAGAAAUAAGGGGAAAUAAUGUAAAAUUAAUAGUCACUUUUGCCUACAAUGGGGAGCUAAAAAGACCACCCAACAUCAUCUUUCUAGUUUUGAAUGUGACCAUGGCAUGUGACAAGUUCAAUCUUCUUCAUCCUCUGUGCUCUGUGUGAAUGAGUAUCACUGUUCCUAAAAUCCCAACUCUUUUUUCACUUAUAAAGUACACAUUUUGUUUCCUUAGCACACUCAUACAAAACUAUAUUGUUCAACUUUAUAAUAUCUAAUGAGAUAGACAAUUCUUUUUAAGGAAACAAGAGACAUUGUUGAUAACCAUUGUUGAUAACCUUGCACUCUGUUUUACAUCAGGUGCUAUGUCUAUCCUUGGUUUUGACUGACAGCUUUGUUUUGCCAUAUCUGACUUUAUUCUUUCCCCCCAAAAUAAGUAAUAAGAACUAAGGAGUAAUAAAACCCAAAAUGUGUAAAUUUUGUUGUAAAAAAGAGAGAGAAAAAAAGAGCUCUAAAAGAUACAACAGCAAGUGUGUUUAGGGGUGUUAAAUAGCUGACCAUAUUAAUGUUUUUGGUUGGAUCAUUGAACACAACUGUUUGCAGUCUCGCUGUUCGAAUGUCCACUUUGUAUGCUUUGAUACUGUGAUUUGAGCAGCUAUCUCUAAGAUGAUAAUAUGUAAUCUUUUUUUUUUGUAGUUCUGUAUUUCUUGUACCCUUACAUCACUUUGUAUUGUUUUGUGUUUUUCUCUUUUUCCUUUUAAAUAAAAUUUUUUUAAAAAAUGACUGAAACAUAGGUUUUGGGUAUGGUUUAUGUCUGGAAUAGCACUUUAGAGUUGUAAAUUAUUUUUUUAGCCUAGUAGUGAAUUCUCAUUGUUUUAAUUAUUUGUUAGUUUAGGUCUUUUGAAGCAAAAUAAAAUGCCUCUGA